rnacentral:lncRNA from 1 species
AGGGGUGGAGGGACCGGGAUGCUACUGCCUUGGGGAAGGAAGCAAUUUUUUUUUUUUUUAAGAUAUUUGAUAAACCCAAAGCAGUGUGAUUAAUUUGCACUAAUAUGAGCUGAUUUGUAAAAUGCAAAACAGUCAUGCAUUAUUCAUGCAAAAUAGACAAUUCACCAACUGGUUCUCUCCUGUGUACACAGGCAGGCAGCAGCCCCAAGACACUCACCACUCAAGGAAAAGUCCGGGGCAGAAGGACGAUUCCAGGCUCUAUCUGCCAGGCUCCAAAGCAGUCACUUUUCACAGCAUCAAAUCCAGCUGCAGGAUGCAAACCUCAAGGAACAUCAAAUACAGCAAGUCUGAAGCCUAAGCCACACCUCCUGCAGCUGCCCUUCUCAGCUGCGCCCUCCUGUUUCUGCUCCCUCCCUCUGCCCACGUGUCCUGGAUGGAAGCCUUGCAGUCACACCCACCUCCCCUGUCCUCUGCAUCACCCACAUCAAAUCUCCACCAGAUCCUGAUCCUUCACCUCUGCCUCUCAGGUCCCGCUACCUGAAGCCGGCCCCUGGCUGCUUGUGGCCUCCUGCUCCCCAGCCUCAGUGCUCCUCCCUACAGGCAAUGCUCUGCCCAUUACCACAGGCAGAGCUUGCUGCAACCCAGAUCAGGCCACCUCAGCCCUCCCCCAACUUCCCGCAACCUUCUGCUGAUGAGAAGGGUCUAGAAAGAUCCUCCAGGACAAGCACUCUGCACAGAGAUUACAUACGUGACCCGUCACAGCACCCCAAACUGAGGUCCAGCCAUUGCCUCCUGUGACAGGCAAGAGAGCGGAUACCGAGGAAAGAUUAAUUUGCAGGUGCCAGAGAGGGCCCCCCGCCCCCCCGCAUCCCCCUGUAUAAGGUAGUUCUGUUGAAAAACUUGAACUCGGAAUUAGAGAAUAAAAAACACGGACUCUCCUAAAAAAUUAGCCAUCUUCGCCUCCAUUAAAACCCAAAUCAUCAUGGUAAGUAGGAAAUAGUAAUAAAAAUGAACGAUGUUGCGCUAUUUGGAAAUGGCAUUGAGCCUGCGGAGUGGUGGGCGGGGUUGUAAGAUCAUUAAGAAAAGUCCCACCAUUUAGCUCUCUUUGGAGUCUUUAAAGUCUGACUCCAACCCAGUCAGAGUUCCCCGUUGACUGCAGUUGGGGGCUCAGAGGAAUAAGAUGUGCCUCUGAGGAGUCUUUCUUUGGACCUUCCAUGCACGGUGUCCCUCCCCC